rnacentral:rRNA from 1 species
AAUGAACGUUGGCGGCGUGGAUUAGGCAUGCAAGUCGUACGAGAAUCGUAGCAAUACGAGGAAAGUGGCGGAAGGGAGAGGAUUACGUGGGAAUCUACCCUCAGAACUGGGAUAGCGGCGGGAAACUGCCGGUAAUACCAGAUAAUGUCUGUGGACCAAAGGUGUGAUUCCGUAUGGGGAUGAGCCCACGUCCUAUUAGCUAGUUGGCAGGGUAAUGGCCUACCAAGGCAAUGAUGGGUAGCGGGUGUGAGAGCAUGACCCGCCUCACUGGGACUGAGAACUGCCCAGACACCUACGGGUGGCUGCAGUCGAGAAUCUUCGGCAAUGAGCGCAAGCUUGACCGAGCGACGCCGCGUGCGGGAUGAAGGCCUUCGGGUUGUAAACCGCUGUCGUAGGGGAGCAAGAGAUGAGGGUACUCCCUCUGAUUUGAGCGAUCCUAGGAGGAAGGACGGGCUAAGUUCGUGCCAGCCGCCGCGGUAAGAC